CGCGGUGGGGACGCGGGAGGCCGGGGGCCAGGACCGCGGAGAUCCUCGGGUACCCUGAAGACCCUGAAGUGGGACUCAAGGACGCAGGGUGUUGAUGGAGAUGACAACGCGAUGGUGGCGAGGAAGCUGGGGACAGGGAAGCAGGAAUCCCGGGUGGUGCUCUCGGUGCCAAGGCAAGGCAGGGACAGGAUGCUGAAAGUGGCAGAGACCCACAAAAGAGGCUCCCUCAUAAGGGCGGGCCAGCGGUCAGGGACCUAGAGGUGGCAGAAUGUGAGCUGCUGGAAUAGCAGAGCAGUGGGGACACAGGGACGAGGUGAUACUAUGAGGCCAGGGGCUGUUGUUGGUGCUCAGGGGCGUGAGUUUAGAGGGCAUAUGCUAGGAACUGGCAUGCCACAGGUCAUGGUUGGAACAGUGGGUGGCUGAGUGGAAACCUCUGCUGGGGUUAGCCAAAGGUUUUUAGAGGAUUGGAUGUACCAGAAGAGUUCGCACUGAGGAUGAGCCCAGGUUCCAUAAGCAGGCAUCCCUAUCGCAGCCAGUGGAGAUGAAAGUCCGUCCUCAGGGAGUGAGAGCCUUGCUCUGGGAUCAGGUCCAGGUGCCUUCAGAUGGUUGCCCAGGUAGCAGUGACUCCAAGCACCCAGUGCUCUGGAACCUCCUGCGAGAACACCCAGUUCUGUAUGCCUGUCUCUGUUCACAUCACCAGCUGCGGCCCCCUGACUGGCCACUGGACUCCAGCUUCUGGGAAAGGGCCCAGCAUAUUCCUUGCUGUCUGUGUGAACGUCUCUGAGGCCAUGGGCACCCCUGGGAACGAUGAAGGCUGCUCUGGGGCUAAGCAAGAUCCUCUCAAGUUGGCGGUCCCCGUAAACUGCCGUAUGAUGCAGCCAUUCUACUCCUAAUGAUUUACCCAAGACAGAUGAAAACAUGCCCGAAAGACACAGACCAGAAUGUUCGUGGAUGUGACCUUCACAGCACCCAGAAGCUGAGAACAACCAACUGUCCACUGACAGUGUGUGUGAGAAAAAUCAUUGGAAAUUUCCCCACAUUAACAUAGUGCUGACAAUGCAGCCACUCUGACAUCCUCUCUCUGCCUGGCUUCUCUCAACCUAACUCCAGGCAAGGUCUGAGGUGAAGCAUUGCAACCACUAUUCAAUCUAUUUUAAGAACAUAACAACAACCAAAGAAGAAGAACGGCUCCUGGGACUGGAGAGAUGGCUCAGCAGUUAAGAGCGCUGCCUGCUCUUACAAAGGAUCUGGAUUCCUGUUCCCAGGACCCACAGGCAUGGUGGCGGUCACAACUGUCUCCAUCUCCAGUUUUAGGGGAUCUGAUAUCCUCUUCUGGUUUCCUUGGGCCCUGUACAUGUGUGGACACACUUACAUACAUGCAGGCAAAACAGCCAUCCACAAAAAAUAAAAAUAAAUAAAUCUUUUAAUAAAAGGAA